rnacentral:rRNA from 1 species
CAUGAAGUCGGAAUUGCUAGUAAUCGCGGAUCAGCAUGCCGCGGUGAAUACGUUCCCGGGCCUUGUACACACCGCCCGUCACACCAUGAGAGCCGGUAAUACCCGAAGUCCGUAGCCUAACCGCAAGGAGGGCGCGGCCGAAGGUAGGACUGGUAAUUAGGGUGAAGUCGUAACAAGGUAGC